CCAAUUCGCCACCCACCGGACUGUGUAGUCAUCCAAGUCACAGCCUCUUAACUUGUUCACCAGUAUGGAGUGGGAUACCGUAUCAAAGGCCUUCCUUUGAUACGGUAUCCUUAUAAGUCUAAGUAUACGACAUCCACCCCUCCUCCUGUGUCCAGGCGUUUCGUAACCUGGUCAUAAAAAGAGACUAGAUUGGUCAGGCAUGAUCUGCCUGCCACGAACCUGUGCUGGUUUCCCCUCAGCAUAAUCUGCCCUGCCGGACUCUCACAAAUGUGAGCCUUGAUAAUUUUUUCAAAGACUUUGCCAAGGAUGGAGGUGAGACUGACUGGCCUAUAGUUGCCCGGGUCCUCCUUCCUCCCCUUUUUGAAAAUGGGGACCACGUUGGCCCUUUUCCAGUCCUCCGGGACUUGGCCCGUGCGCCAUGAGCUUUCAAAUAUUCCCGCCAAUGGCUGUGCAAUGACGUCGGCCAGUGCCUUCAGCACCCUCGGAUGGAGCUCAUCCGGGCCUGCCGACUUAAAGGCAUCCAGUUCUUCCAAGUGACUCUGCACCAUCUCAGGGUCUACGCAUGGAAGUCUGGCGCCUUGCUGCUGCCUCUCUACAACCCCAGUGAGAGACUUGUCUUGCCCCUCGCUUAGGAACACUGAGGCAAAGAACUCGUUGAGGAGUUUAGCCUUGUCCCCUCAAGACAACUGUGUGAAGGGAUAAGGAGGGAGCAACCAGAGGCAGUGCUCUGUACAAGAGGAGACUGUUGGGAGGAUGCUUUGUGUAGGGGAUUGGAAAAGGAAGAAGCAGCAUUUAACAAACACUAUCAUUUAAUACUAGUGCAAUGAUGGAGGACUGUUCUCUAGGCUUGCAGUUACUGCAAAGAGUGGCUGGGAGGUAUGGAGGAGGCUUUUGGUGAUUCGUAAUAUGAAAGGAGAGCAUACAUUUCAGAGAUAAGGAUUCCGUUUUUAUGGUUUGAAUUUUCUUUACACUUUGUGAAGCCAUGGCACCUAGAUGCCUACGCUCUUAUUUUUAAGUGUUAGGCAAGCCCACCUACAAUGGAUUGCAUAAAAGGGGUGUUCUCACUUCGUUUGAAACAAAAAUAAGAAAGCAGGCACAUGAAAGCAAAUGAAUCUUUCUACCAGAGUAGUUCUUAAGCUAUGGAGGCUCCCUGUAUUCAUAUGUCCCUCCUCUUUCAACACUGAGGAUGCUUAAAAAGUAAGAUGCUAAUCUUCCACAAUUUCUCUCUUGCCUAUUGUAUCCCGAGGUCCUUCAACUGCUAGGAGUACUGUCUCUAUAGUCACUUUGCAAUGCUGAAACAGGCCCACAUGCCAGGGAGCUAACACCCAUCUGCUGCUUGAGCUAAAUACCCUCAAAGUUUGCUCGUAUUAGAGUACAGAUUACUGUAGCUGCAUAGCAAAAUUGUCUCAAGGUAUAAUGUUCUUCUGUGUAUGGUAUGCCAUCCCAGAAAAUAGCAAUAGGAGGUUGAGGCUGAAAGGAAGCAACUUAUAAAGUCCUUGUUAUAAAUGGAUCAGCAUGAAAUGGACUCAUUGCAUUGUUUAAUAGCAUUUUGUUCAAUAUAAAAUAAGGUAACCUGUUUUGCUUGGAUUUCUGAUUCAAAUAAAUACUAUUAAUGUCUUUGCUCACCCAUGAAAUAACCACCUAUACACUAUGUCCUGCAGUAUCAUUAUAAGAUGGGCAAGUAAACAAGGUCAGUUUUCAGGGUUGUUCCUACUACCCAUUUUGACUGGUAAAUUAGGAUUUUAGAUCAUCUCGGCUUAGCAGACUCAAUCCUUUCCAUUGUUUUGGGGAGCUCUGCUUGGAGUUGUUUUUAGUCUGGUUAUUUUAGAAAACUGUGUAGUAAAAGAUUCUUCAGUGUUUCCCUAAAGGUUGUUUGAGUCUGGUCUGAUUUCAUUUGAGAGGCUUCUUCUACCACUGACCACUCUUGCUGGAGCGUGCUUUACCUCUGGCUCAAGCAGGUUGCUCUACAGGUUUGUAGACUGCCUGGACUUGAAGCAAUGAUGUUUCUGCUGUCCUGAUGGACUGAUAUUUCUGAAGAACUGGACCAAGGCUAACAAACUUUAGUUGAAGGAAAUGGGAGAGGGCAGCAACUCCAGGGUACAAAGCAAAGCUGCACAGAAACCAGACACAGAAACCAAACAUAUCCAACUGGAAUCAGAAGAGCAAAGUGAAAUCCACUGUAUGGGGGAUAUGGGUAGGGAUAUGGGGUUUUAAACUACUAUUCAGAAGAAAGUGUGUCGUAUUCUUUCUGAUAACUACUUAUUAUGAGGAUGCCCACUUUAUAUCCCAGCUGAAAAACAUGCAGCAUGCUCAGUAAAUCCAUCUGGGUUUUUAAACUUGUGCUUUUAUUGUUUUUGGUCAAAGACUUUCCAGCCUAAUGAUUUACAUGCAAACAGAUUUAAGUGUUUUGACAUAGCCAAAGUUCUUGGCAGACAUGGAGAUCACAAGCCUCUUCUCUAAACAAGAAAAAGCCUUUCAGACAUUGGCAGUGGCCAACAGCGUAGGCAAGAUAUCUAGCAAAUAAAAUAAUUAAACAGCCUUAUUCAUAAAGGCAGCUCCUGUGUUCCAGGGAAAGAAGCCUAAUGAAUACCAAACCACCUCUACUUGGGAGUUUACUUACUGCCAGCAGAAGUGGGAGGCAAAACAGGACCAGUUUUUAUGAGUGGACAGGGACAUUUUGUCUAAAAGGGGAGACCAACUAAUAAAAGUCAGUUCCAAAACUGGCCAAAAAGCUCCGUGGGGUGGGCAAUAUGCUGAAACUGUUUCUUCUUCGAGACAAUGUUCCUGUGUUUAAAAAUGUCCUUGAGUUUGGGUUUCAGCCUGGAGCUGGCAGCUCAUAUUCCUGCUUAAUCUGAAAAUGAGGAUCUGCUGGUAACUGAGCACCAGGAGACAGAGCUGAUCAGAGGAAUGAGCUGAGGCUCAGCUUGACGUGGCAAAGCUGAGAGAGAUUUACAAGAUAGAGGAAUCCUUUAAAACACAGGUAGCACAGCUGAAGCUCUGUCUCAUCUCCAUGCUGAUACAGUACAAGUGCAACUGUGCCACAGACGACUUCAAAGAUUUGCUUAAGUUGUAAAAUUAGUUAUUAACAAGCUUCAAUUUGGCAUUUUCUAACUUGUGAAGGCUGUUGCUACUUUAAUAUUUCUACUACACGAUUUUUGUGUUAAUUUUAAUUCAGCAAAGAGCUAGCAGGGGCCAUGGAUAUAUGUGUGAUAAAUAUCUAAAAGACAAGGGAAAACAUUUAGUCUGAAUUAUUUUGUACACCUGUGAAAGACUAAACUAGUAGUAUGCUUUUAAUACGCAACAGAAUAAUGCAGAGAUGCUGUGACUCCCUCUGACCUCAGUUAAACCUUAGUACGGGACAGGCAAACUGAUUUGCAGAGCUUUUAACUGCAGUGUUUGACUGAAAAGAGAAGGGUAGAGGUAUAUGUCAUUCAGCAUGAGUUUCUGGUUAUCUGCAUGAGUCCUAGACUGAGAAUGUGGAUAAGCACAAUACUGCACAAAGAAAAUAUGUUGUCUGAACCACAAGGCUUUCCUGUUACUUCAAAGGAACUGCUGAAUUUCCCAUGCUCAUAAAGAUGGGAGGUGGCAGCAGCAGCAUCAUGCUGGGUGAGCUUAUCACCCUCAGGGCAUAGAGGAAGGUCUCAACAUGUUCAAACAAAUUAAGAGGGUGAAAGAGUUCCUUCCACAGCUCCAGUGUUCCCUUGUAGGUAGCUUUCCUACACUUACCAUCAAGGCAAGAUGACUUGGGCAAUAUGUAAAUAGACAUGGACUGCCCAAAACCUUCACUAGCACAGGAUGAAGUGCACCUGCACUUAGACCUAGAACAGCAGGGAAAUAGCAGGGGUUUAAGCCUCCUGGCUCCAGCAGGGAACCUCUGCUAUCCUCACUGAGAAUAAUGACUGUCAGGGGGUGGUUAGCAGAGGCAUAGCAAGAAAUUUCAGCACCGGGGUAGGGGGGAGAAUUAUUCUGACCACUGGAGAGCAGGGGGUUGGCUUCUGAGGGACAGGCUCACUGCAUGCUGGUGUAUUGCCCCAGCUGCCACAGAGAGCCUGGGGCCACUCUUGGUGCUUUAUUUGCUCCCCCUCUCCCCCCACCCCUUCAGACAUGUUUCUGGGCACCAGGUUGCACUGCCCACAGCAAAGUCUGGGGGGAGGCUUUCUGCUCACCCCUCUCCCCCACAGGUACACUAUGGGGAUUGGGAUUCCCCGUGAUGCCCCCCUCUUACCCCCCAGUUACACUACGGUGGUUAGUUCUGUUAAAAAUCUCCUCAACCCCCGACACUGUAACAGUGCUGCAGGGAAUGCACCCUUUUUCUGUAAAUGGUUUUCUCUGGCAUGUUCCAGCCUGGUGACGAAAGCAAUGCUUCGCCUUCAUGCAGCUGACCCUAGGGCACUGUUGGUAUUACAUCCUCCUGCCAAAUAAGGAGCUGCACUGGGUGACAGCGAAAUUGUGCAACUUCUUCUGCAUCGGUGGAAAGCAUCAAUCCAGCACCGCUGCUCACCACCGGGCUGAUCUUGCGAGGUGUGGAGCACUCUGAAUUCCCACUGAAGCCAAUGGGAAAUGAGGGGGGAACUCACCACUUUUCAGUGGUUAGCUAGAAGAUGGGGGCAGCAGGAACAGCAACAUUGCGAAACUCCCUUUGUGUAAAAACACUGAACAAUACUGGAUAAAUCUGCUGCUACACAAAGCCAGUACUGCAUUGGAGGAGUCCAGAGGAUUCUCAGAUGCCUCAGUGCAGCGUCCCUUCCCCUUGCCCCACAACAUCCCCCUAUGCCUAGCUAAACUUCAACAACAUGCUCCAAUUCAUAUCAGUGGUUUUCACCAUUUUUUGUACCAGGACCCAUUUAUAAACAUCAAUGGCCAGAUCCUGACCCAGUGCCCCUCACUCCCGACUUGCUGUACCCAGGUACCAGGCCCCCGGUGUAUGCGGUGGGGACUAAGAGGGGUGGGUACAUGGGGGGCUCCAAGCAGCCUCAAACAACCCCUCUCAGACUGGAACUCUGCCAGCAUGCAAGGAAACACCACAGUUUCCCACAUUUUUCUCCUCUAAGGCGACUCCAUUUUUAAAGUUUGUUGGUUCAUUUCUAAAGUUUGUUUGUGACCCUUUCAUAUAUUCUUGUGACCCACUUUUGGGUCACAACAUAUGGGUUGAGAAAUGCUGGACUAGAUGACCUUCAAUGUCUCUUCCAGCCCCACUUCCAUAUGAUUCUAUGAUAUGAAAAUAAACAGCCCUUGCAGCAGGGACGAGGGCCAGGUCUCUCUGCUUCUACACACACUUUCUAGUUACUGAUCAUUGCCUCCUUAACCCACAUAGGAACCUGCACACCCAUUACAACAUACACACCUAUGGAAUGGCACUCCCACGCACCCAUCCGCAAGGCAUCGUCUCCCUCAAACCCCUUGUCUCUUAGUCCUGUCCCUGAAAACGGGGUUUAAUAUUCAGUUAAUUUGCUAUUGCUUUUGCUGGAGGACCUGCUGCUGCUGUUGUUGCUGCUGCCCUCAUCACUAUCCUCCGAUCCGGCUGUCUCAACAUCUUCUUUGCACUGUCCAUUUCCCCUGGGGGGGUGGGGAGUCUUGAAAGAUUCUGUGCCAAAUCCUGUGUGGAACCCCUGGCAAAGCUCUUCCAAAACCCAUGGUGCUCUGGAGAGGACCUUGAGGAUUGGAAGAGGGCCAAUGUUGUGCCCAUCUUCAAGAAGUGGAAGAGGGAGGACCCGGGUAACUAUAGGCCAAUUAGCCUAACUUCUAUCCCAGGGAAAAUCCUGGAAAAAUUCAUCAAGGAGUCUAUAUGUGACAGGCUUGCAAAAGGCAGGAUUCUGAACAACAGCCAGCAUGGCUUCAUCGCGUGCAGGUCUUGCCUUACCAACCUCAUCUCCUUUUAUGAUCAGGUAACUCGCCACCUGGAUAAGAGAGACGAGGUUGACUUUGUAUACCUUGACUACCAAAAAGUCAUGGAUCUGGUAUCCCACAAUGUUCUCGCAACAAAAUUGGAAGAUUGUGGGCUUAACUGCUUGACAGUUAGGUGAGUGGGAAGCUGGCUGCAGGGUAGGACCCAGAGAGUCCUAAUGAACAGAUCUGUGUCAUCCUGGCAUGAAGUGGCCAACAGCAUCCCACAUGGGUCAGUGCUUGGUCCAGUACUCUUCAACAUCUUUAUCAAUGAUUUGGGGGUGAAGAGCUCACUGGCCAAGUUCGCGGACAACACCAAGUUAUGGGCAAGCGUGGUCACACUUGAAGAUAGGCUGCAGAUACAGUCAGAUCUAGACAGGCUAGCAAGUUGGGCAGGUUGGAACCAGAUGAAGUUCAACACUGAGAAAUGUAAAGUGCUCCACCUCGGGAUGAACAACCCCCUACACACCUACAGGUUUGGUGGCACCAAACUGAUUAGCACCACGAACGAAACAGGCCUGGGGGUAAUAAUAGACCGCGGUAUGAAGCUGAGCCGGCAGCGUGACGUUGUCACCAGCAAGGCAAAUAAUACUCUGGCAUGCAUCAAUCAAAGCAUCACCUCCAGCAAAACCAAGGAAGUGAUUCUUCCACUCUACUCAGCACUGGUGAGACCGCAGCUAGAGUACUGCAUCCAGUUCUGGGGGCUGCACUUUAACAAGGUUGUGGUAAAGCUUGAAAGAGUCCAGAGAAGAGCCACCCAACUGAUCAGAGACUUGCAUGGCAAGUCAUAUAAGGAAAGGCUGAGGGACCUGGGACUCUUCAGCAUGAAAAAGAGAAGGCUGAGAGGGGACUUGAAAGCGGCUUACCGCUACAUCCGGGGUGUACAUCAAGGGCUCGGUGAACAACUGUUCACCAGGGCACCCUUGGGGAAAACCAGGAGUAAUGGCCAUAAACUCCUGGAAGACCGUUUCAGGCUCAACCUUAAGAAAAACUCCUUCACAGUCAGGGUGUCCAGGCUGUGGAAUAAGCUCCCUCCAGAGGUAAUGCAAUCACCUACCCUGGAAAUCUUCAAGAGGAGACUGGACAGUCACCUUGCUGGGGUCACCUGACCCCAGCUGUCUUUCCUGCUUGGUGCAGGGGGCUGGACCCAAUGAUUGUCUGAGGUCCCUUCCAGCCUUACAAUUGAUGAAUCAAUGAAAUGUCCCUCUGCCAGGUGGAUUUGACUGUGUCCUCACUGUCCUCUGCUACCAAUUUCUGGUAGUAGGGCUGGAGUUCGCUCAAAGCCAUUUUAACACAGUCUAGCACCUCCAGCCAUUAAGUCAGAGAGUUUCUUUUUCACUCUAUGAAUCUUUUUAAAAAACUGUAUACAAUUGGAACUGCUUUGACAGGAAAGGUGAGAAGUGCUCCCACCACAACCCAAGAGCCCAGACCACCUACUCCCUGGAUAAGCACCUUAACCACUGGGAUUUUGGAGAAGAGUGGGAUGAUGGCAGCACCAACACAUCCUUUUCUGUACAUAUUUCUGAAUAAAAGCAGAAGCCUCUAUGCUGCUUUUGUGCUCUCAGCCUGCCUAAAGAUUAGGCACUUUCAGGAUGACAGAGAGGGGGUGGAGCAGAGGGGAGCUUUUGUAGAUCCUAACAGGGCGUAUGCACAAGGCAGGUCCAAGACUGAGGCACUGCUGGACAUGCUCAGAAGUGAAAUUUUACUAGUAAAAUUUGGGCUCCUAUAGAUUUAAGUGCCUUGGGCAGGCUUGGUUUUGAGAAUCUUACUCUUGGUUUUAGGCACCUAAAUCCUGCCUGUGCCACACUGUGAAUCUUGCAGUACCUGUGCCUCCAUCUGCAAAUGAAUACCUCUCCCUCACAGGCUGUGAGGUAUUUUAAGAACCCAAGUACUAAGAGAUUUUGAAUAUAUUACAAAACUAAUUAAAAUUGCAGCAUUUUAUUAGUUUCCUUUCAGCUCAGUCUGCUCCACAAAGUCUCUGAUUUAGACUUAAGUGAGGCCGGGUAUUAUAACGUGGAAGGAAAACUGGCUUAAUAUAGAGCUCUCUCCUGUCAACGGCAGUGCCUUUAAUCUCUGACAGCAGCUGCCUCCAAGGUAAGUUACGUGCAGCUUUGUAUAAUUGGACAAAAGUAGAAAUUUGCCUUUCAGCAGAGUUUCCAUCAGAGCACAGACAGGCUGACACUAGCCAUGUGGCAGCCUCUUGCUUUAUUCAAGCUACUCUUCAGAGCUAAUUUAGGUUCUGAAAGUUGUAAUGGAAAGACUCAUGUACAUAACAAUAAUUCAUAUUUUAGAGCUAGAAAAUUCCUAAGGCAUAUCCCAAGGUGGGGGAGAGGGGUGUGGAAUGUAUGACAUCUAUAAAGGGGCUUGUUUCUUCACCAGAGUCCUGUUACCACAUAAAGAUCUUAAGCUCCAAAAUGACUUACAGGCCAAACUCAAGCAAUUCUUCAGUAACCAUCCAAUAUUUUUAUCUUUGAAAUGGAUUCAUUAGUCCAACAAUAGAAAACACACAUGUUGCCCUCUGCCUUAGGUGGCAUUACUCAGGAAAGAAGAGUAAGAUUGGGUUAUAUCAGAACGUCCAAGUUUUCAGAAACAAGCAAAUUGUUCCCUAACUUUUGAAAAGUGUAUUCUAGCCACUUUUACAAAUUUUAAGGACUGUUUCAUCAUGGUUUAAACUUUAGAUAAACUAGUGCCAUAUUCAGGGUAAAAUAUUGUAUGUAUCUAGGCAGACAAGAUUCUUUGGGUCAAUCCGAUAUCAGAUUGACCCAAAGAACUUUGUCUGCCUAUGUACUUAGACCAACACGGCUACAACCUGCACCCCUGUACUUAUAGAAACAGGGACAAAUCAGAGGAAGCACAAAUGUUACUUCAACCCCAAGUUUUUGGGGAAAGAUAAAAGAACAUAUUGAGAAUUAACAAAAUGACCAUUAAAUCUCAUUUAAAGUUAAUGGGACAUAAUCUCCUUAAGUGCCUAUAUCAGUGUUACAAAUAAAAUUUAGGGUCAGAUUGUUAAGGGUGCUUAGAUACCUUAAAAACCUUGACUAAUCUAUGCUGGAAUUCCUCACCUGUACAAUGCAUUGCCCUUCCUCAAAGGGAUGUUGUGAGAUUACAGGAGAUCAACUGGAUGGACUGAUCUCUGAAAAAGAUUUGUGGCAGCAAUGUGUUGGGAGAGUAGCUCUGAAAUCACAGAGUUUUUUCUUGGACUAUAUGCAUAGUACAUAAAUGAUUCUUUUGGUUCAGCAGCCAAAAUGAAAAAUCAGAAGAGGAUUUGAUUCAGCUCAACCCCCAGUGAGGAUUUUCAUUUUCUUUCUCACUGAAAUGAAAAACUGAAAAGUUUUGGUUUGGGGAUGAAACUGCCAAUUCCAGUUUCCUCAGCAUAACUCCACCCUGUCAGUGCAACAGCAAUAACCCUCCUAAAGCAAUGGUGAAAAUAUCCUCUGAUGCUGGCUGGGGCAAAAAGGCCUGCUCUCCACAGCUAGCAUGUCUGCACAUUGACAGCCCUCCACACACUGCCUCACUCAGUGGCCCAUUGUAGUAGCCCAAAUGAUGAUGCCUCACAGUUGGUUGAAUGAUUCAUCUGAUUCAUUUGCUUAUUUCACAGAUAAGAUCAAUCAGGGUCAGUCCACCUCCUUCCUGUGUGGUUCUGCAGGGACUGUUAGACAGGCAGUGAAACUCCUCAGCCACGGAUAACAAGAAGCCAACACAAAGAAAAGUUACGGGGACGGUGCCAGCUCUGGCCCACACCAGCUUCACAGAUUUCUUUGAUCUGCCUCAAUCUGAGACUGUACUGGCCUCUGACUGCAAUGACCUCCUUCCAGGGAUGGGUUCUCUGAGCUGGGCCUGGCCUUCUUAGGAGAACUUACCACUCUAAACUCAAGACUGGUUGGCCACUUUUCUCUGCUGGGACAAUUUGAACUCUCUGGACCAUGGAUAGAGCUUAUCUUGGAAGAAGAUGAACCUUCUAAUCCUUUGCAUUCAAAAACUCACCUAAGUCCAUACCAACAAUUUAGUUGGUCCAAUAAAAGAUUUCACUCACAAAAAUCCUUGCCGUUUGCAUAUUUCCUGGACCAUCAUGGCUACAACUUAUAUCUGUGCAUCUGGCAGCAACAGACCAACCUUAACUAGCGUGUAGGAGACAACAUUUUAAGACAAACAAGCCACUGAAACA